rnacentral:lncRNA from 1 species
UCUGUUCCUUUUAUAUUGUCUAGAGCAUGUAGAAUUGUAGCAAACAUCACGCCUAUACUCAUCCUCACCAUAAGGAAAUAGGAGAGGAUACUGAUAUCCCAAAUAACUUGUAUGCAACUCGUUUAUUCUUUUAAGUUUACCACUUUGCUUAUCCAAAACAAUGUAUCUCUUUGAAGGAUUGUCAACAUCCCCAACAAUAAGAGUAGCUACUUCAGAAACAAUCGGUAGAUUAUAAAUUCUUCCAUCAGUAACUCUAUCAGACAUCAAUUUCAGCUUAAGGUCACUUAUGGCUUCAUGCUGAUAACGUUCCUUUGCCAUUCUAAAAGAUUUGACAUGAGUGUUAUGUUCAUCAAGCAUUACAGACAAUCUAGAAACAAUUUCUGGAAUCAAUUGUCCUUGAUCCCUCUUAGAAAGAUUAAAGUAUUAAAUGUCAUUGAAAAUAAUUUGUCUUGCAAAAAAUAAUUAUUGUUUAACAUACCUAAUUAUAUAUCAUUUUUAAUGCAAAAUAAAUGUAUAAAGAGAAUGCAUAUGAUAGUUCAUAUUGAUAUAGACAUCAAUUGACAACUUUAAAAUAAAAACUAAUUGACAUAUUUAUUUAUAUAUCAACUUUAAUGUCAAAAGAGAAUGCAUAUAAUAAUCCAUAAUUAUGUGGGUAUAGAGUCAGAAGUUUAAAUUUGUGGUUAUAAGAAUUAAAAAACCGCAACUGCUUUCCAAGCCUUUGUUAUAAAUAUAUAAUAUAUAAUCGCAACAUGGAUGAAAAUGGGAAAAUAAUUGUUUUUAUAAAGAAAUGUACCUUAACCCUGCAAGUCUAUUUUGUAUCUCAUUCUCUGUAUCAUAUAUGUAGAGUUGUGCAAACUUUGGAGCUAUGCCGGCAAUAAACUACCAAUUAGAUGACAUGUUUGACCUUGUAUUCUAAAGGAUGGGGUCCUCUUCCAUCAUUGAAGGACUUGUCUAUUUUUGCUCCCGACGAGGUGAAUGCGAACAUCAUGUUAUAUAUUCUAAUAUGUUGUUGAUAAUUCUUACUAUCGCUUGAAUAGUUAUCAAAUGACAAAUGUUGUAGUAUAGGAAGAGGAGACAUCAACAAUGGAAGUUGAAUUUUCCCAACACCACAACAUAGUUGAAAUUUUGGAUUUUUUGGAGUUUUGAGUUUCUCUGUCCUCUCUUGGUACCACAUACAUGCUCCACAGUAAUGACAUUCAUAUGUAG